rnacentral:rRNA from 1 species
UACGUAGGGAGCAAGCGUUGUCCGGAAUCAUUGGGCGUAAAGCGUGCGUAGACGGUAGCGUAAGUCGGGUGUGAAAGCCCCGGGCUCAACCUGGGAACGGCGCGCGAGACGGGGGGGGCUGGAGUUCGGGAGAGGAGGCGUGGAAUUCCCAGUGUAGAGGUGAAAUUCGUAGAUAUUCGCAAGAACACCAGUGGCGAAGGCGGCUCACUGGCCCGAUACUGACGCUGAGGCACGAAAGCGUGGGGAGCAAACAGGG